rnacentral:rRNA from 1 species
AGCAGUCGCCACGGUAAUACGUAGGUGGCAAGCGUUGUCCGGAAUUAUUGGGCGUAAAGCGCGCGCAGGCGGACAGGUCAGUCUGUCUUAAAAGUUCGGGGCUUAACCCCGUGAUGGGAUGGAAACUGCCAAUCUAGAGUAUCGGAGAGGAAAGUGGAAUUCCUAGUGUAGCGGUGAAAUGCGUAGAUAUUAGGAAGAACACCAGUGGCGAAGGCGACUUUCUGGACGAAAACUGACGCUGAGGCGCGAAAGCCAGGGGAGCGAACGGGAUUAGAUACCCCAGUAGUCCCUGUCUCUUAUACA